rnacentral:lncRNA from 1 species
GCUGUAUCACUGAACCAUCUUACUUAAAACAUGAAUACAUAUGGGCCAUCAAGGCCUCUGACAUACUGUACAAACUGAACCCCUGUUUACAAAGCCUCUAAGAUUAUUAGACAUCAAAUGGGAUAGGGUACCGACCUACCCAUAAGUCUGUAGAAAAACUAUGACACGGAUGACUCAUAGACUCGGCUGCACUCCGAAUGAGGUGGAGUCUUACCGAUCCUUCAUUGAAUGCCAAUCUUGUCAACUAUGAGGGCUCAUCAAAUUGAUUAUCUAUACCUGCAGGCAUGAAUGCAGCGUCCCCAAUAAAAAGGAUGCCAGUGCGAAUAAUGUACUGAGUAUGUAAGGUAGNNNNNNNNNNNNNNNNNNNNNNNNNNNNNNNNNNNNNNNNNNNNNNNNNNNNNNNNNNNNNNNNNNNNNNNNNNNNNNNNNNNNNNNNNNNNNNNNNNNNNNNNNNNNNNNNNNNNNNNNNNNNNNNNNNNNNNNNNNNNNNNNNNNNNNNNNNNNNNNNNNNNNNNNNNNNNNNNNNNNNNNNNNNNNNNNNNNNNNNNNNNNNNNNNNNNNNNNNNNNNNNNNNNNNNNNNNNNNNNNNNNNNNNNNNNNNNNNNNNNNNNNNNNNNNNNNNNNNNNNNNNNNNNNNNNNNNNNNNNNNNNNNNNNNNNNNNNNNNNNNNNNNNNNNNNNNNNNNNNNNNNNNNNNNNNNNNNNNNNNNNNNNNNNNNNNNNNNNNNNNNNNNNNNNNNNNNNNNNNNNNNNNNNNNNNNNNNNNNNNNNNNNNNNNNNNNNNNNNNNNNNNNNNNNNNNNNNNNNNNNNNNNNNNNNNNNNNNNNNNNNNNNNNNNNNNNNNNNNNNNNNNNUUUCAGCCACUGUGGGCAAUACCAUCAUCGUAUACCAGUUGAUCAGGUGGUGGUGCGUAUAUAACACCGUAACCUUUUUCCAUAUCACAUAUACAUAUAUACACGUAUAUAAUGCCGUAUGAGGCAUGGGUAAAUGUACAUGUAAACGAAUGUAAUGGAUGAGACGUAUGUUAAUAAAAUCUAGAAUGUCAUAUGACCAUUCUGCCUUUAAACAAUAUCAUGAAAUAAACCUUUUUCAACUUACGUAUUUUCUGAGACCCAUGAACAGAUUAUAGAAUAAUAUGAUACAUGGGGAAUCAAGAACAUAAGCAUCUCUAAUAUUUCUAUGAAUAAAGUCAUGUAUGAAAAUUGUAAAUUUGCUCGUUUCCUUUGUGUCGUAUGGAUCAUGCCAAAAAGAAAGAAGGGAUAGCCUUAACAUACCUGAGUUGAAACUUAAGUGACUGAACUUUAACCUCAAAUCAGCCUUCUUUCCUGUCAAUUCAUGAAUUUUGUUCAACAAAAGUUUGUAACACUCUCAAAACUAGGACAGCCUGUGAAGAAUCCCAACUAAUCUAUACUUGAGGAAUCACGCCCUCAGAAUCACAGUGGUGAAUUUGAUUCCAUAGCUACCCAGCUUAGAUGACUCAAAAUUUUUGCCAACAUAUUGUACUUAACCAAGUCACUAACAUGUUUUCUUUCAUCUUUAUAAUGGCAAAAUAUAAAUAAUAGGUAAUGGGACAAUGCCUAUAUAAUAUGCACAACUGAAUUCUAAGUCAGAACAAUUGCAUUCACAAAAAGUUAGAUGCAAAGACAAAUACCGAGAAAGGAAAAAAAAGAUUAUUUGAAAUAUAAUUUGUCUUGGUUCAUGUUUGACAACUUUAAGCUGAACGAAAGGCAAUUUUCUUCAUAUCCUCCAACUGAUUCAAUCCAUUUACUCAUUUAGUAGUGACUGACAGGUGAUACAUGGAUCUCCCCAAAUCUUGCCACAUGAUAAAUAAAUAUGUCACCUAUCACUCAAUUGUAAGAGUCACAAUUUGGUUAUGGCCUUGCUGCCACGUGACAUUUUGGUCUUUAUCCAAAAAAUCUUAAUUAACCACUAAUUAAUAUUUAAGAAUGGUUUCAAAUUAAUUAAAAUUCUAUUUACUUUUAAUACACCUUAUACAUACUACUAUCAUGGUUAUAUGGUACCAUAUAAAAUAAAUAAAUAUAUUUUCUUAACUUCUAAUUUUUCUAUACUCAUAUAAAGAGUAAAAUUUUGUCCGCUUAAUUCUUAAAAUAGUAAAAUAUAACCUUCUUUUCUUGUGAGAAAAUAAUUUUUAUCUUUAUAAUAAAGAAAAUAUCAUAAAAUUUCCUAUAUUACGUGUAUAAUUUAAAAUAUAUUUGAAAUUAGUAAUAUUAAUAACUAUAUAAUAUCAUAUAUUUUUUUCAAACUAUUUUUGUAAAAAGUGUUCCACUCAAAAUAUCAUAUCAAAUACCUCAAUAUGGAACUAGAUACAUACUUAGACAUGCUUAAAUAUCACUUUACGGGAAUGAAUAACAUACACAUCCUUAAUUGCUAAGAGUAAAAUCACUUAUGGAAUAUCAUUACGUUUACGUAUCGUUACUUGGAACAUAUUUUUGUGUUGUCAUUAGAAAUCUGAAAUACAGUAGCCAAUAUGUAUCUUAAACAAUGAUUCUUUAUUUUUCAAACCAACGAUGCAAGCAUACUAUUACGCGGCGCCUUCUUGAGAUUCCUUGGAAGGGCGACGUAAGGCUAAGCAACUGAUGUCUGUGCAGUUACUGUCCGCCAACUGAGGUCCCCUCCGUACGCUAGACGAGAUUGUCAGUGCCGUACGGGAAAAUCAAUGUCAAGAGCAAUUGAGAGAACAUAAAUGAGAAUUGAGAAUGAAAGAAAGCUUGAUUGCAUUAAUGAAAGUUAUUACAGAAAGGUAACGCGGUGUCGAGGGGGAGAGACACCAGUACAGAGAAUUGUUUGCUUGCUAGAAAGUUUUGAGUGCUUGACUCCCUAAUGAUGCUUAAAUAAAAUAAACCAAAUCUACAAGACUAGACUUGAUUAAGCUUGAGAAACAUAAUGGAAGUACUUGGAAUAAAACUACCCUAUAUUUACAAUGAAAAGGACUUAGUUUUCUACAAGGCAGCAACAUGUCCGUUGUCAACAACAUAGUUUUGGCAUCAGGGUCUGCGCGCGCGGCGCUGUUGGCAUUUGCCUGCAGCUGGGCGCUGGCGAGGGAUAUCGGUGGGGCAACAGAGGCACAUACGCGCUUGUCACUUGGCGCGGCCAAGACCACGGGGCCGUCCGUGGCGCUAGGCAUUGGGAGGCUUGCUAGGACACCACGGGGUGCGCCCAGGGAGUCAUGGGUCAUGGCUGGAAAGCUGCCCAUGAAAUUCUCCCCUACCUGAGUUGGCGACGUCCUCGGUGCCUUACUUGCAAGAUAAUCUUCAAUUAGGCUCUUGUAGGCUUUGAGGUUUGUUCCCCUCUCCCAAGUGUUCUCCUCUGCAUCAAAGCCCUGCCAUUUCACCAAGAACUCUUGGUGAUCUUUCCUUGAGACAUGAAUCACUCUAUCAUCAAGGAUAGCUUCAACACGCCUUUUUCCGGUUGAAUUGGGACCUCGAAUACUGGGUAUUGUGAGCUGGUUCUGUGAAGGAUCCUCCGUGUCUUCCCUAAAAGGUUUCAGGAGGCUAACAUGGAAGACAGGAUGAAUUUUCCACCAAGCUGGGGUAUCUACCCGGUAUGCAACUUUCCAAUGCGCCUUUCAAUGGACAAGGGUCAAAUGUAUUUUUGCAAUAGGCGAGGGUCAUGGACCCCCGUAAAUAAGUACCUCUUUGGAAUUUUGACCAUCACUUUGUCUCUUACUUGGUAUUCAACAAAGCGACGAUUCUGAUCAGCAUGCCUCUUCAUCCGCUUUUGAGCCUUGACAAGAUAGCUCCGUACUAUCUCCAAAUUACGCUUCCACUCUUUUGAGAAGCUAGCAGCUCGAGGAGAUUUAGACAUAUUUGGUGCAUUGACUGUGUGUGAGAGUAGAGGUUGUUGUUCGGUAAUAAUUUAAAAAGCAUUUUUGUUUGUACUAAAGCUCUUUUGUGAAUUAAAACACAUUUGAGCAGCAUCCAGAAGCUUCACCCAAUUCUUCUGCGACCCGGUUACAAAGUGGCGGAGAUAUUUCUCCAAUAUACCAUUGAACCGCUCCGUCUGGCCAUCAGAUUGCGGAUGAAAACUUGAGCUGUGACUCAGCUUUGACCCAAGGCACUUAAAGAGUUAGGUCCAAAAGUUGCUAGUGAAGCGUGAGUCGCGAUCACUAACAAUGUCUUUGGGCAGGCCCCAAUAUUUGACCACAUGAGAGAAGAAGAGUCGAGUUGUAUCUUCUGCUGAUAUAUAUUUUGCGGCAGCAAUAAAGUUAGCAUACUUGGAAAACCGAUCUACCAGAACCAAAGUAGUUGUGAGGUCUCCGACCUUGGGCAAUUCGGUGACGAAAUCCAAGGAAAUGCUUUCGCAAUGUCUCUUUGGGACAGCUAGUGGUUCCAAGAGUCCCGCUUGUGUCAAGUGGUCCGACUUGUCCUUCUGGCAUACUAGACAAGUCUUCACAUACUGAGCGAUGUCAUCAGCCAUUUGAGGCCAAUAAUAUGCACGGCGAAGUAAUACCAUAGUGCGUUCCUCACUGGGAUGGCCGGCCCACAGAGUAUCAUGACAUUCCGCCAGAAGAGUCCUUCGCAGAUCUCCUCCUUUAGGAACAUAAAGUUAGUUCCCUUUCACUUUCAGGAAACCAUCUUCCAUGUAGAACUAGCGAGUCUUGCCCUAUCGUACCAAAUCAACCAAAUACUAUGCAGCAGGAUCCUUGAUGAGUAGAUCCUGUAUCUGGUCCUUGAUUGAGGUGGCUACUUCGCUCCCCUUUUACGGUGGCGAGUAGGCACACCGAUGCUAGAUCAGCUCUCCAACUGAGUGCAUCAGCAACAUGAUUGGUCUUCCCACUUUGGUACUCCAGGUUGAAGUGGAAUUCUGCUUGGAGUUCCUGCCACCUGGCCUAUCGACCAUUCAACUUCGGCUAGGUAAUGAAAUGGCUAACAGCUGUGUUGUCUGUCUUGACCACGAACGGGGUCCCCAACAGAUAGUGCCUCCAAAGGCGCAAGUAGUGGACGACAACCAAUAAUUCUUUCUCCUGGGAGGCAUAGCACUGCUCUGCAUCCUUUAACUUCCGACUCUCGUACUCUACAGGAUGCCCUUCUUGUAGAAAGACUCUGCCGGGGGCAUAAUCGGAUGCAUCUGUUUGUACCUCGAAUGGCUUGGCCAGAUCAGGGAGGGCCAAGAUAGGGCUACUAGACAUAGCCGCUUUCAAUGCGUUGAAGGCCUCCACUCGCCUAGUUCCCCAAUCCCAAGGCAUGACCUUCUUGAGGAGUUCUGUCAAUGGUACUACAAUGAGGCAGUAGUUUUUCACAAAUCGCCGAUAGAAAUUGCAUAGACCAAGGAACGUCCUCAAGGCGUGGAUAUCCUUAGGCGGCAACCAAUCUGUGAUUGCCUAAAUCUUCUAUUAGUCCAUCUUGAUCUGCCCUUCCUCGAUGACAUGUCCGAGGAAGUCAAUUUGCUUUUGAGCAAAUGAGCACUUAGAUAGCUUCGCUUAUAGUUCAUGCUCCCGCAAUCGAGCUAGGACCUUCCACAAGUGCACCAGAUGUUCCUCCAAUGUUUGGUUAUAUACCACAAUGUCAACAAAGUAGACCACCACGAAUUCGUCAAUGUACUCUCAGAAGACUUGGUUCAUCAAGGUGCAAAACGUAGUUGGGGCAUUGGUCAAGCCGAACGACAUAACCAGGAAGUCGUACGACCCAUAUCUUAUCACAUAGGUCGUUUUGUGUUCAUCACCCUCUACAAUCCGAACUUGCCAAUAACCUAUCUUCGGGUCUAUCUUGUUGAACACCGUCGCACCACCCAGUCUAUCGAACAAGUCUGCCAUUAGCAGAAUAGGGUAUUUGUUCUUCACAGUGAUAUUGUUUAGAGCCCGAUAGUCCACACAAAGUCGCAGGCUGCCAUCAUAUUUCUUUUAGAAUAGAACAGGGGACCCGUAUGGGGAUUUGGAGGGCACGAUAAUCCCUGUGUCUAGCAUUUCCGUCAAUUGUCUCCGAAGCUCGGUGAGUUCGGGUUGUGACAUUUUGUAAAGUGCCUGAGCGGGUGGCUUUGCACCCAGCACCAGAUCAAUUUCAUGGUCCACAGUGUGCCUAGGCGGUAGUGGCUUUGGCAUGUAUUGUGGCAUGACAUCUUCAAAAUCCAGUAGUGGCUCCUUCACAGGCUCAAGAAUGGGACCCGAGGAGCGUUCUACAUCUUCAAUGCAAAGGGUUGCUAGGAACGUAGGUUCAUGUCUUUUGACCCCCUUCUUCAACUACAAGGCUGAGAUAUUUUCAACGGCCAUCUUCAUGGGCAUGCACGGGAUAAUGCAGGGCUUGGUCCCAUUUGCUCCCAUCAUCAGUAACAUGUCAACAUACGGUACAAGCAUGGUGUUGGUUUGCCUCAGGAAUUCCAAUCCAACUAUCAACUUGAAGUCAUUUAUGAUCACCACGCGCAAGUUGAAUUUUCCUUCGUAAGGGCCAAGCUUCACUGGUACCUCUUUGGCUAUCCCACCCACUGGCUGAUGAGGUGAGUUGAUAGACUUGACACUACCUCUGCCCUUUCCUACAACUAGACCAAGGCGCUCCACCUAAGUCGAGGCUAAGUAGUUGUGUGUAGCACCCAUAUCUAUCAUCGCCCGAAUGGGCUUGCCAUUUACCUUUAUCUCAACGAACAUUAAGGUCCUCUCUUGUUUAGGAGGAGUCCUCUCACCCGCCUUCUUUUUCCCUUUCUUGGUGUUUGGGCAGGGGUCCUUCUUCUUACGGAUACCAGCACUGGUACCCACUAAGGCCUCAGAAAUAGAGCCAACAAUUGCAUUGAAUGUACCUACAGGUUCAGUCUGGUCUGCAUCGUCUGUCCCAUCAUCAAAGGCUUGAUGGGCGUUCAGCUGUGCAUGUGGACACUCAUUAUUCUAAUGUGGUCCGCCGUAAUGACGACAUCCUAAGGGAGGCUUUCUCCCCUGGUCAUUGUUGUUUGAUGCAGCACUAUUGUUGCCUAAAGAGGGAGCCUUAGAUUUUGUUGCACUCUGAUCUCCCCGCUUCUGCUAGGGCCACCAUUGCUAGGUUGGCCCCCUUUGAAUCCCGCUCAGGCAGGCGGCUGAGGCUUAUCCUUUCGAUCUUCCACUUGAUAGUCCCCAAGGCAUUCAACUACUUGGAUCACCUUGGGCAGGGUAUCUACCCUUUGCCUUUGCAGUUCCAUACGGGCAUAAGGUUUCAAACCUUCUAGGAAGGUGAAGAGCUUGUCUUUGUCCCCCAUGUCACGUAUGUUUAGCAUGAGCGCAGAGAAUUCCCGCACGUAGUCCCGCACUGACUUGGUCUGGCGGAUCUCCUGUAGCUUUCUCCUUGUGUUGUAUUCAAUAUUUUCGGGGAAUAACUAUAGGUGUAUGGCUGCCUUCAAUUCUGCCCAUGUCUCGAGACCAUCUUCACCGGACAUGAUGGCUUCGUACUUCAUCCACCACCAGAGUUUAGCAUCACCCUGAAGAUACAUGGCAGUAGUUGCUACCUUCUUAGCUUCUUCUAGGCCCCCAACAACAUCACAAUAUUGUUCGAUGUCAAAGAUGAAGUUUUUCACUUUCUUGGCAUUCCUAGCUCUACUGUAUGGCUUUGACUCAGGAAUUUUUAGUUUUUGUGUCGCAGAAGCGGGGUUCACAGCGCCCCCGAUUUGGUUUCCAUCUCCUCGAAGCAGGCCCUGUAAAGCAGCAUUGACAACAUUUAGCUUGUCUGUCAAAUCGUCAAUGUGGCUGUCACCGUGUCGGCCUCUUGUUCCCUGUAAGCUAAAUCCUCGGAACGCUCCUGUUGGAGUCCCUCAAAUUUGCCAAAUAUUUUGGCUGCCUCUGUGGCUGCCGUUUGUUGGUCCCCAUCGGAGUCGCGAUUGAUGUUUUCUAUGUCAACUUCGGCCUGGAGCACCCUGCGGUCCAGGCCGUCCAACCUUUAUACUAGGCUGGUUCUUAGUUCAGGCACCGCAUACACGAUGGGCAUAAUCCAUCAACCAUCUGUUCAAGGGACGCAAUGCGGUCCCCAUGAUUCACCAUGGUCAGAAAUGGUAGUAAUGACAAUGCAUUCCCUCGUCCGAUGUCAAGCCUAGGCACUGAUACCAACUGUUAUGCGGCGCUUUCCUGAGAUUCCUUGGAAGGGAGACGUAAGGCUAAGCAACUGAUGUCUGUGCAGUUACUGUCCGCCAACUGAGGUCCCCUCCGUAUGCUAGACGAGAUUAUCAGUGCCGUAAGGGAAAACCAAUGUCAAGAUCAAUUGAGAGAACAAAAAUGAGAAUUGAGAAUGAAAGAAAGCUUGAUUGCAUUAAUGAAAACUAUUACAGAAAGGUAACGCGGUGUCGAGGGGGAGAGACACCAGUACAGAGAAUUGUUUGCUUGCUAGAAAGUUUUGAAUGUUUGAUCCCCCUUAUAAUGCUUAAAAAAAAUAAACCAAAGCUACAAGACUAGACUCGAUUAAGCUAGAGAAACAUAAUGUAAGUACAUGGAAUAAAACUACUUUAUAUUUACAAUGAAAAGGACUUAGUUUUCUACAAGGUAGAAACAGGUCCGUUGUCAGCAGCAUAGUCUUUGGCAUCAGGGUCUGCGCGCACGGCACUGGUGAGGGAUAUCGGUGGGGCGAUAGAGGCACAUGAGCGCUUGUCACUUGGCGUGGCCAAGACUACGUGGUUGUCUGUGGAGCUAGGCAUUGGGAGUCUUGCUAGGACGCCACAGGGUGCGCCCAAGGGGUCAUGGGUCAUGGCUGGAAAGCCGCCCAUGAAAAUAGUUGCACAUAAAGCGUGAACAAAAGUUAACAAAGCCACACCAAAGACCAACUAAAAGAAUAAAAAAAGUUACUUAUGUGGACUUUGUGCAAAUUGCUAUUUUUUUAUUUCAUUUUCUUUUCUUUUCCUUAAUUAGAUUUGUAAUACUUUUCAACACCAGAUCUUAUUAGAUUCCAAUUUUUCCUCUAAUCCUCUUUCACACAUUCCUUAAUCAGAUUAAGAAAAAGAAAUCAAAACCGAAUUAGAUCCUAAUAGAAUAUAACAAUCCUUUAUCCUAUGUUUCUUAAUUAAAUACUCUAUAGAUUUCAAAGAACUACGCUGUAUUCACAAUUCUUCAUUGCCAACUCUAGAACAAAGGAGAAAAAACUGAGAAAGCAUGGAAUAACAUGUUGUUAAACUUAUAGGGUCUUACAAUAACAUAGUCACAAAUCCUCUAUAAUCUCAUGAAUGGUCUUAAUUUCUUCAAGCUCAUAUGAAUUACUACGAUUUAUCCUAAUAUUAAAGUAUGAGAUGUAACAUCUUUCCCCCUUUUAGAAUAUUCGUCCUCGAAUGUUAACUCUUAGAGAUUUACAAAAUUUUUAUUAGGGUCUCCUCUGUAAAUUAAACUAAAAUCCCAAAACUAUAUCUGAAGUUUCGACCAUUCACAACUUUUUCUUCUUCACCCUUACCUUACUUAUUUUUCAAUCUCGCAUCAUAUCUUCUGUUUCUUUCAUAACCUCCCUUCCACAUUACGCCUUAAAGCUCUACUGUGAUACCUGCACCUCUGGUGCAUACAAAAUCUGACGAAAGCUUCAUACCAACUUCUUACGACUCAGCUCUAUGGCACGAUCUGGAAAUAAAACAAGGGUAAUAUUUACUAAAUUCUCUAUAUCCUCUCAAUUAUAAACAUGGCGCGCAACACACCCAUAAGUGAGACUCUACUAGGCACGCUUUGUAGACUCCCUAGGAUACAACCCGCUCUGAUACCACUUUGUCACGCCCCAAACCUGAGAGGCGUGCUGGCACCCGGUGCCGUAGUGGCCCGAGCGAACCACUCUGUAACUCAUCCAUUCAUUUUGUAACUAUCAUGGGCCCACAUGGCCAUAAUUCAUAAUGUACAAUUAUAAGUGGAAAAUACUGUAUCACUGAACCAUCUUACUUAAAACAUGAAUACAUAUGGGUCGUCAAGACCUCUGACAUACUGUACAAACUGAACCCCUGUCUAAAAAAGCCUCUAAGAUUAUUAGACAUCAAAUGGGACGGGAUACCGACCUACCCAUAUGUCUGUAGAAAAACUAUGACACAAUGACUCAUAGACUCGGCUGCACUCCAAAUGAGGUAGAGUCUUACCGAUCCUUUGUUGAAUGCCAAUCUCGUCAACUAUGAGGGCUCGUCAAAUUGAUUAUCUAUACCUGCAAGUAUGAAUGCAGCAUCCCAACAAAAAGGACGUCCGUACGAAUAAUGUACUGAGUAUGUAAGGUAGAACUCAAACAUAAUCAUAAUUCAACAUUAAUU